rnacentral:rRNA from 1 species
UAGGGAAUCUUGCGCAAUGGGCGAAAGCCUGACGCAGCAAUGCCGCGUGCGGGACGAAGGCCCUAGGGUCGUAAACCGCUUUCAGUAGGGACGAAAAUGACGGUACCUGCAGAAGAAGCUCCGGCCAACUACGUGCCAGCAGCCGCGGUGAUACGUAGGGAGCAAGCGUUGUCCGGAAUUACUGGGCGUAAAGGGCUCGUAGGUGGUUGAGUAAGUCAGAUGUGAAAUCUCAGGGCCCAACCCUGAGCCUGCAUUUGAUACUGCUCUGACUAGAGUCCGGUAGGGGAGUGCGGAACUCCUGGUGUAGCGGUGAAAUGCGCAGAUAUCAGGAAGAACACCGACAGCGAAGGCAGCACUCUGGGCCGGUACUGACACUGAGGAGCGAAAGCAUGGGUAGCAA